CCACAGCUGUGUCCAGUAAGACACGUGCUAUUAGCUGGGUGGGGAGAGAGAUGGAGGUGUUGGCUGUGGAGAAGAAGAAGGGGUCAGUGCUGUGAGGAGCUGCCUAUGAGGAAUCACUGAGAAGGUAUGAGAGCUUUGAAAUAAGAUGACAACAAAGGUGCACAAGGAAACCGGAAAAUUAUUUAUUACUUGUGCCAAUUUCUCAGCUAUAAAAUAAAUUUAGUAGUCUAGGCAGAGCAGUAAAAUGCCACGUGAUAGGUAUCUAUUUUAUGGUGAUGGUGAAAAGAAACAGGAAACAAAAUGAACUGUGAUAUGCAAGUAAAGACUGCAAGAAUGUCACUGGGGACACUGCAAUGGAAAAGGACAAGCAAUUGGAGAAAAGAAUAUGAAAGAAGAGAAAUGCAAAGUAAAAAGCAACAAGAAGUAUGUGGGAAACAGCCUGGUACUUUGAUACAGAUACUAAUUUACAGUAAAGAUCUGGCUUUCUCAGUAGCAGCUUGUGCUACCACAUUCUGGUUAAGCUGACACAGAGAAACAUAAAGACACCUCUCAUAAGAGCAAGAAGUUCUUCUGGUGCUCCUGAAAUAUCUCAUCCUGGCUACAGUUUUUAGAGGAGCCCUGUGACAACUGACACUGCUUCUUCCCCUCCUCAGACAGGACACCUCAUCUCCCAUGAAGCAGCCUGUAAAAGCCUACUUUUUGCUGCUCUGUGGAGCAGUCAAGCUGAGAAUCCUCUGCAGUCCUCUGGGGUGAAGGAAGAUGGUGUGAAAAAGAAGCCACAGAAAGAACACUACUGCAACUAGUAGGAAGAAAUUUUUUUUGGGAACAGAAGAAUUAAUUGCUGGAUGUUGUGGCUGUGUGGAAAAUUAGGUCGCCCUAAUUUUUCAUACUAUUUUAAGACCAGGUAACUAAUCACAAAGCAGUAGUGUAAUAAGGCCAGAGAGUUUUUACGGGACUGUUAGACAAGUCACAGACACCUGUACAAGCAGGAGAGCUCCCAGGAUGUGCAAGUUCAGCAAGGAGCAGCUCAGCAAGGGUUUUGCUCAGUAUCCUACCAUACCAACACUUCAUUUUGUGCAUUUUCAUAUCAUAAAAUCUCAUCCAGGUGACUUCCAAAGCCAACUGGAUCAGGUAGUCCUCUGUUCCUCAGACACAGAGCCCCUCUCUGUCCCUCUCCAAUGGAAAUUCUCCAGGAAAUGUCUGAUGUAAACCAUGCCAAGGGGCCACCAGCCUGAAUUUCUUGCUAAAAUUUUAGUAUUUCUCUGGAUUUGACCUGUUCCUUAUAAUGACAAUUAUUUUGGUUAUACAAAAUAUCUGCCCUACCUUUUCUCCUUGACAUGUAGAGGUUUGAACAUUACUGUAUCUUACUGGAUUAUUUUCUCCUUUUUUUUUUCUUUCUCUUUUCUUCUUUUUUAAUGCUGUUUUGACAGCAAAUCAAUUUUUUACCUCCCUUUGAAGAAGCUACUCAAAAGGGCAGGAACACAUGAGCUAACUUCAGGGAUGGUAAAGGAAAGGUAUUUUUAGAGUAAGGGGAACACAACAAACAACUGGUUUAUUUAUUGUAAAAAUCUGUGGAGGUCCUUAGCUUUGAGGCUGGCUGAUGGCAUGUCUGCCACUCUCAUGACAGACACUUCAAAGUACAGAGUACAGCACUUCAAGGAAUUUCCCAGUCUGCAAAUAAUGCUGCAGAAGAAAACACUCAAGUACAAGCAGCUCAGCACUGCAGAAAAUCCAGGCAGGAUGUUUAACAAACCUUCCAGUUUUAUGAAGUAGGGGAAUUCCAUUAGGAGUGUGGACUAUUUGCUUUAACACAAUCAUUCAUUGGGAUAAGAGAAGUAGAACUUGCUCUGUAGGUUUGUAAUUGCUGAAAUUAAUAAGUGUGGCUCAUCACUCUCUGCAGUACUAUACCAAUUUACUGAGCUCUUUUAUCUCAAUUACUCUCUGUGUGUGUCUUAUAUUUCUCUAUUAAACUUCAGUAAUUGUAACACUGUGGUAAUAACAUUGACAUACUGAGUAUUAUGUGAUGGGCUAUUUUACAUUACUCUGACUGCCUUAUUUACAUUAUAAUUAUUAGUGUCUACAUAAAUGUGAUUCAUUGAACUAAUAAAGUUUUCAGACAACUGC